AGAGGCAGGAACUGAAGCAGAGGCCGCAGGCUGCUUAUUGGGCUGCUCGCCAUCCUCAGCCUGCUUCCUACACAUCGCAGGAACUACUCCCAUCAGUACUCCCACAUUAAUCAUAGGCGACUGCCGAUACUGCUGGUUCCCUUCUACAACCUGAAGGUAAGUCACGGAAGAUACCACUUACACCACUGAACAUGAGAGCUCAAGUUGGUGCCCGACUAGAAGCUUUACCCCUCCAGACUCGCACUCACAGCACUGGAAGAUGAUUGCUCUCCGAGAUGAUAGAGGAAAAGAGCAUCUCCCCAAGCUAUAAACAGUAACUCGCCUGCGAGACAGACUGGUGCAAUAGCAGCAUCAAUGUUAUGAUUGGAAACACCUAUUUUACUAAAUAACCCUCCAUGGAACCCACGGACAAUGAAACUACAUACAAAGCUCACCUUGUCAGAGGCCUCAGAAGCCAAAAGGUUGACUGCUGGAUGACUAAGAGAGUCUACAGCGGCAGGAACGGCUUCGUCACAAGCGUUCAGUAUCUCCACUGCUGUGAUUCCCAUUGCACAACGAUCCAGCGCACCUGGAAAGCAGCACCUCCACGUGGGUUACACAAUACUAGCAACUUGUAAUUUCAUUGUUUAGGUACAGAAAAAAAAUGGUAUAGCAUAUUUGGAGGAAUGUCUUAUUAGUAUUUACCCACAAAUAUCCCCUUGUACUUCCUCCAUAAACUAAUCUUCCAUGUAGAUCCCACAAUUAUUCCUCUCCCCCAAGUCUUCACAAACCUUCCCAGUAAACUCUAAUGAAGGCUUUAAAAACCUC
rnacentral:lncRNA from 1 species